UGAAUUUCUGUUAUUUUAAUGUGGUUGGCACACGGCAGCAGGCAGACGGUUUCUAGCUCGUAGAACAUACUACAAAUUUACUAGCAGUUUUGUCAUAAUUUCUAAUUAUUGGUAACUGCAUUUAUCUACGUACUAAAAUCCUGUCAUCCUGUACCGAAUCCAUAGAAUUUUUCGUAAAACGACACGGAAAACUGCGAUAUAUCGGAAUCUCAAUUCGCCAUUAACUAAAACGACAGCAACCGCAAUUGAAAGAUGAUGUCUCUACGGCGGACAAUGACCAUUGCCGGCUGUCUGAUGUGUUUGUUCCUUGUACAAGCGAUGGCUAGCAUGGUUAAUUUUGAGGAACGCCAAGAAUUUCUGCCCACCAAUGACCAAUACGCUGCGAGGUGGAGACGCCGCCCUAAUCGCCCGCCACCCAUACCCGACCCGCCCAAGUGCUGCAGCUGGGCGUGGUACACCUCGGAGUGCUGGUGGACCGGUAUCCACUGGGCUUUUAGUCCGCAUCCGCAGAAUCCCACCAAGGUAUGCCCCGGUACGGGAUGGGGCUAGUGGAGGUAGCAUCCAGGUCGGCAUUACCCGUGGCUUCCAAAAUUUUUACUAUUGAGAACGGUGAUGUCAUUGUGAUAUGAAUCGCAUGCAACAUAAAUAGCAUGCUGCUAUAUUUCAUUAACAAAGUGUAAGAGUAUCUGCAAUACAUUAGCCUUAUCUGGAUUAUCGACUGUUUCGUUCCAUCAGAAUUGUUAGUUCGAUCACUGACCGCUGCAGGUCUUCUGCUAAAACUGUGGAUGCUUUUUCCUCAUGCUUUUGUUCAGCUGAUUUGUCCCUGGUUGGAUAAAAUGUCCACCCUGUUUAUCCAUUAAAACAUGACA